GACAGAGGGUGCAAACGUUGUUCGGAAUUACUGGGCGUAAAGCGCGUGUAGGCGGCGGCGCAAGUCGGGUGUGAAAGCCCUGGGCUCAACCCAGGAAGUGCAUUCGAUACUGCGUCGCUUGAGUCCCGGAGAGGAUGGUAGAAUUCUCGGUGUAGAGGUGAAAUUCGUAGAUAUCGAGAGGAAUACCGGUGGCGAAGGCGGCCAUCUGGACGGUGACUGACGCUGAGACGCGAAAGCGUGGGGAGCAAACAGG
rnacentral:rRNA from 1 species